UAACUAAUGGACACUAGCCUGAAUAACUGGGUGACAAAAUAAUCUGCAAUCAAACCCCUGUGACACAAGUUUACCUAUAUAACAAACCUGCACAUGCAACCCUGAACUUAAAUAAAAGUGAAAAAAAGAGCAUAGUCACAGUCUCUUACAUGAAAUCCAUAUAUUCAGAAGUGUUUCAGGAUAUGGAAAGUUUCUGGUUUAAUACAAAUAAUAUGAUAUAUAUAUACAUAUACAUAUAUUUACAUACACAAACACACACACACACACACAUAUAUUUCACAGCACAGGCAGGAGGACCUACACCAGUGCCACAGUCAAACAUAUUAACAUUUCUUCAAUGAAGUAUGAGUAUUAGUAUCAAGUGAUAUCAAUUAAGAGGUAACUUCAUUUCAGUCCAGUCCAGUUCUGCCUCAAAGGAAUUGAAGCCAGGUCAGAUUUCAUUGCCAAAUGGUUGGUGAGAACUUCUUACUUUUCAGAGUUCUUUUAACUUCAGAAUUGUGGAAUUCAUAUUUUUCUGGGGUAGAGAUGAGAGUGCUGGGUGAUUUAGGCAGGGUCACCCUCUGAUUGUUCCUCUCCAAUGGUCUCUGAAAGUAGGAAACUUCUUGACUACCAUGAACUGAAGCAGGAAUAUGGAUACCCAGCCACAUCCUCUGACUGUCAUGGGUCCCAACAAGUCACCUGACCUCAGCAUAAUUACUUAUUAGAGUUUAUGAAUUUUUGAUGAUCUUAGUGUGUCACCUGUGUAGAUGAGAGGAGAAGAUAGUCAUUGAUUCCCUGUUCGUCUCUCACGACCUCUAUUUGGCCACAUCCAACCCUCUAGCAGACUGGAAUGGCAGAGGGAGCACCUUGAACAGCAGCCUCGAUGCUGCUGAGAUGCUAGACAGUUCUGGAGGCUGGGGAGUCCCAGGUGCCAGCAGGUUCAGUUGUCUGGAGAGAGCUGAUUGCUCUGCUUUCAAGAUGGCACCUUAUUGCUACAUGCUCCAAAAUAUAGAAACGCCAAGUCCUCACAGGCCAGGACAAGCAAGCUGAAAGCUGGAUGAAGGCUCUUUUUUUUUUUUUUUUUUUUUUUUUUUUUUGAGACGGAGUCUCGCUCUGUCGCCCAGGCUGGAGUGCAGUGGCGGGAUCUCGGCUCACUGCAAGCUCCGCCUCCCGGGUUCACGCUAUUCUCCUGCCUCAGCCUCCCAAGUAGCUGGGGCUACAGGCGCCCGCCACUACGCCCGGCUAAUUUUUUGUAUUUUUAGUAGAGACGGGGUUUCACCGUUUUUAGCCGGGAUGGUCUCGAUCUCCUGACCUCGUGAUCCGCCCGCCUCGGCCUCCCAAAGUGCUGGGAUUACAGGCGUGAGCCACCGCGCCCGGCCCUGAAGGCUCUUUUAUAAGGGCCUUAAUUCCAUUCACUAGGGAGGAGCCCCCAUGGCCCAAUCACCUCUUAAGGGCCCCACCUCUUAAUCCUAUCACAUUGGCAACACCUGAAUUUUGGAGGCAACACUUUCAAACCACAGCAGUGUCCUCAACUCUGAGACACUCUCUCCACAGCAAAAGGUUUUUUAAGAGAUGGAAACACAGAAGAACACAGCGAACAGGGAGGAGAUAAUAGUAACAAAAAUGUGAAAUCUGAAUCAUAAACCAGUAAAGGGAAAGAUAAACAAACUGACAUAUGCUACAGAUUUUUCAAACAGCUCUGUUCCUGGAAGUGAUAAGAGGAAGAGAGUGGGAAGAAGAACUAUUGGGAAAAACACUAUUUGAGAAAUUAUUUGAGAACCCUCGAUCCUUCCAUGCUUCACAGUGCUAGGAAACUGGCCCUCACCUAUCCUAGAGGAGAUCCAGAGAUGUAAACUCUAAAUUGUGGUCUGCAAUCUUGAGAAUGCCAGGUGCAGGUACUUUGGACCAUUAAAGAAGAAAUUCUGUUUAAUGUUUUAGCUGCAAGGAAGAGCAAGUUAAUAACUCUAAUCUGGUUAAUCUUCACUUGAAACAAUCUAUGAAUUUUUGCUGUGACAAUGUGACUCAAACCACAAAUACUAUUGUGAUUACUUAUCUAUUUGGCUCCUUGCUAAAAUACUUAUGAAGUUUAAUUUAUCUCUUAACUUCAAGUGAGAAAUACCUUUAAUGUAAGUGUAAACUUUGACUUGUAUCAGUUAAUAUGCAAUCUUUGAAGAAACAGAUUUAGGUUUCUUAUCGGGUCAUACAAAUUCCUUCGCCUGAACCAUUCCACCGUUGUCUUUAUACUUAGCAAUAUUCUAUACUUCUCUGCAACAAGACCCACCCCUCCAUGGCAUUUAUUAUUUUUCAAACAUAUUUAUGUGAUUGUCUGACUUCUAGCACCCAUCUAUCUGUAUAUUUUGUUAUGUAUAUAUGUAUCCCUUCUGUCUAGGUUUACUCCCUAAUUAUCCCAUAUGUACUAUUCUUCGUUCCUCUGUCAAAGAGUAAACUGCAGGAACCCAGGAAUCAUGUUUCACAUAUCUUGCUUUUCAUAUCAUGCUGAGCAAAACUCUAAACUCACAAUAUAUCAAUGUUUCACAAAAUAUGUUUAUAAUUCCCUGCCUCAAAUUAACCAAGGGUUUUUAAAAAGCAUAUUAUUAAGUUCUGGUGAGGGAUAGUGGUGAUGGUUGCAUAAUAAUGCAAAUGUGCUUUAUUCAACUGGUUAAAAUGGUAACCUUUGGGUUAAGCAUAUUUUACCACAAUAAAAAAUGAAUUUUAAAGCACAUUAUUAAGC
rnacentral:lncRNA from 10 species